rnacentral:piRNA from 1 species
UGCGAAGACGAGGAAUAGAAAUGGGGGGU